GCUGUAAAUGGAUAGCUCAGUCGGUAGAGCUGUGAGACGUUUAAUCUCAGGGUCAUGGGUUUGAGCCCCAUGUUGGGCA